rnacentral:rRNA from 1 species
AUUGAACGCUGGCGGAAUGCUUUACACAUGCAAGUCGAGCGGCAGCGCGGCCUUCGGGCUGGCGGCGAGCGGCGAACGGGUGAGUAAUGCAUCGGAACAUGCCCAGUCGUGGGGGAUAACACUUCGAAAGAAGUGCUAAUACCGCAUACGUUCUGAGGGGGAAAGCGGGGGAUCGCAAGACCUCGCGCGAUUGGAGUGGCCGAUGUCAGAUUAGCUAGUUGGUGGGGUAAAGGCCUACCAAGGCGACGAUCUGUAGCUGGUCUGAGAGGAUGAUCAGCCACACUGGGACUGAGACACGGCCCAGACUCCUACGGGAGGCAGCAGUGGGGAAUUUUGGACAAUGGGGGCAACCCUGAUCCAGCCAUUCCGCGUGAGUGAAGAAGGCCUUCGGGUUGUAAAGCUCUUUCGGCAGGAACGAAACGGUGGGCUCUAACAUAGUCCGCUAAUGACGGUACCUGAAGAAGAAGCACCGGCUAACUACGUG